AAUCUCAGUGUUCUCACGCCGGCGGAGAGAUGUCCCGGCUGUCGCUGCUGGGUGGCCAAGGAGGUUCACAUCCUAGAGUAGGGCGCACGGGUGCGCGAAGGCGCUCGCCAAGGAGGCGUAGAGGGCGCAGCACAACUCCUCUGGGGGGUAACCGGGGGCGGGAGCACGCCCGCCCGCCUUAUGUAAGCAAGGAUUGCAGGGAGAUCAGCGCCCAGGAGACCAGCUGUGGGUUUGCCCGCUGAAGCCGAGGCGAGACAGACCAGGGGACGAAGCGGCUGCGGAGAGUGGCAGCGCGCCUGCCUCCCGCGGUGCGCCAGACCUGGACGCCGGGAGUGCAGCGGGCGCGCCCCGGGCCACUAGGCUGUGUCCAGUGGAGCUCAGCCUGCCGCCUGCCACCUUCUUCGCCGCGCCGGCAAAGCCUCAGCCGAAUUCCCUAGGACUGGACUCGGUCUACGACUUCGGGUCUCGCGGUUGACGAAGCCGGUGCGGGCUCGAACUGAAGUCCUUCUUGGUUGGGGAAGAAGGCAUGAAGCUUUUGCACUGCCCCAGCCGGCUGCUGUCCUGGGGUUGUCAGCGCCAGUCAGACUGCUUUAUGUUCUGAGCGCGUAUGACCCCUUUGCAGUGGAACAGAAACUAAAAGCUCGACGGAAACUCAUUCUGCAACAGUGCUUUCUUUGCGUGCAUGUUGGUGGCUGACAAGGGUGGUGAUGCGAUACCGAGAGAAACUCUCUUAGAAAAAAAAAAUGCAAAGCAAAAUUUGUAGAUACUCAAAGUGAUGGUGGAGCCUAUAACAUGUUUUUCAAAUUUCUAAUAGUGUGUGUAAGAACUCGAGCUGCUAUGAAUUUGUUUACCUUUCUACAGGAAAUAAUUGUCUACGUAGCUGGGUUGUGAAUCCCUGUGGUCAUGAUGGAGGGAUGCAAGAUUGGGUGGGUAAAAUAAGACUAGACAAAAGGAAAGUGAAUUUAUUAAAAGGUCAACACACAGACACAGACAACAUUUUGGGAAAAAGAAAAUCACUUCCCAAGAUUAGCAUGUCUUUAAACUAAUAAUACAUCAGGGAAUUUUAUGCUCUUGGUGCCAAGGGGGCCAUGUGUAAACACGCAUGCACACACACACGCAGGAAACAUGAGGUCUAAUUUUGGCUGU
rnacentral:lncRNA from 1 species